rnacentral:rRNA from 1 species
UUGCUGGCGACCGGCGCACGGGUGAGUAACACGUAUCCAACCUGCCGAUAACUCGGGGAUAGCCUUUCGAAAGAAAGAUUAAUACCCGAUGGCAUAAUUAGACCGCAUGGUUUGAUUAUUAAAGAAUUUCGGUUAUCGAUGGGGAUGCGUUCCAUUAGGCAGUUGGUGAGGUAACGGCUCACCAAACCUUCGAUGGAUAGGGGUUCUGAGAGGAAGGUCCCCCACAUUGGAACUGAGACACGGUCCAA